UCGCGCGAGUACCUCCGUCAAAGAGCCGCGGUCGGGGGAGUAACGCGUGGGUAACCUACCCUGUACACACGGAUAACAUACCGAAAGGUAUGCAAAUACGGGAUAAUAUAUUUGAGAGGCAUCUCUUGAAUAUCAAAGGUGAGCAAGUACAGGAGGGACCCGCGUCUGAUUAGCUAGUUGGUAAGGUAACGGCUUACCAAGGCGACGAGCAGUAGCCGACCGGAGAGGGUGAUCGGCCACAUUGGAACUGAGACACGGUCCAAACGCCUACGGGAGGCAGCAGUGGGGAAUAUUGCACAAUGGGCGAAAGCCUGAUGCAGCAACGCCGCGUGAGUGAUGAAGGCCUUCGGGUCGUAAAACUCUGUCCUCAAGGAAGAUAAUGACGGUACUUGA
rnacentral:rRNA from 1 species